ACCGACGGCCGCUCGCCGUUCCUCUGGCCGGCAGACGUGCGUCCCACCCGCCGGCAACCGCGCCCGGUCCAUUGCAUCGGGAGACUCUAACCGCGUCGCGCGUUGCCGAUCUCCUCGACGCCGGCUGCAGCGUCGGCUCUCCCAUGCGCACCAUCGCCGCCUACUCUGUCUCUGACGACCAGGCGCACAUCGAGGUCAUCAACGGCGUCGAGCACGAUGACGCAGUACGGGGCCUGUGCCGCCACGACAAGAUCGCUUCCAUCGCAGAGGUGGACUUCGAGGGAGUCAAGGAGCUCGAUUUUUUCCUGCCACCCUCGCUGCAGUGGUGGCCACCGCUCAAGAUGGGGUGCCUCAGCGUAACUCGGUGGCGGCGUCUCCAUGCAGCCAAGGAGUCCAUGGGUGAUAUAUGACUGUGUGUGCAAUUUUUUUCUGGGCAUGAUGAAUCUUACAUGGUAUUAGGUGUGCAGGUGAGUUUUACCUACAGAUUCCCAUUUGUCUUCUUAUUGGCUUCACAUGUUCAUUGUCAUACUGGGCCCAUUCCUAUUUUCUCCUCCAAAUGAUGUUUGUCAGAUGUUAUAGCAUUCAAGCCUCUCAACAUUCACUCCUGGAGCGACAAGAAGAAUUGAGGAUUCAUAUUUGUUGCGCAAACCACAUAUUAAUGUUUUUGUUGUAUUUAAAUAUUGCAAAGACUGAAUUUGGUCAUAUAAGAAAUUGGAUUGCCAUAUUCACUUGCUCUUUUUCAAUAAUAUUUGUACACUUACAAAUGCAUGAUAAUUGAUAGAAAUUGGAUUGCAGUAGCGCUUCAAUUUUUCGCUUGAAACUAUAGACAAAAAAAUAUCAAAUUAGAAAAGCAAUAUAUUCUUUGGAUCAGCAUGCCAUUGACUCAUGAAUACACAAUCGAGUUUAUGUACUUUUUUUUGUUUGCUCCUUAAGAAAAUUUGUUGCGUAUACAUUUUCUUGGUGACUAACAAGAAUGAUUUUUGCUUGAUGUCUGGAUGCCAAUUUUGACCAUCACUGGUUGGUCUUUCUACAUGUUUUAGUAUCUUUUGACGAGUUCUGCAUUGCGUGCCUAAAAGAAUACCUAAAUCUAAUUGUUUGUUGAGCGCAGCACAUCUUAUGUGGAGAAAAUUCCAGGUGCUUAAAAGGUCCAGAUCUAAAAGGCGUAUUUUUCACUUCAUGAAUGCACAUUCUUGUGUGAAUAUAUAUGUUCAAAUCCUGAGACAAAUUCAUUGUGGCAAUCAUGAGCGUGAAUAUAAAGAAAAUUCCCAGGUCGCAUCAUAUUAAUUAGAACCAUUUGUUGGUGCUCCUAAGUACAAUUACUGCUCUAUAGUAUUUUCCAUAAUUCAGUCAGGAGCUUGUGUGCCAAACUCUUAGCAAAUGGUGACUGUACUUUUUAGUUUUCAUGAACGAUGUAUCUCCAUUUAUUUUGGGAAGGGGCCUGCAUAUAUGGACUGUAUCUGUUUACUGAGAUGUACUUUGAUGUUUUAGAUUUUACAAGGCAUGGCCUCAAUACCAGUUCUUGAUAUGCACCCUGAUGGGUGAUGUCAAAUGCCACAAGUACUCAGUGCUGUAUUCCAAUCUGAAGUUUUAUGUAUCAGAGGUUUUUUUUUUUUCCCACAAGACAUACUGUAAUUUAUACUAUUGCAAAAAAUAUUUUGUUA